rnacentral:lncRNA from 1 species
AUAAAAGCAAAUUAUUUAAUUCAAAUGAUUAAGGUGAUGGUAUUUUAGUAAUUUUACUUUCUUUAUCAAUCAUUAUCCUUCUUAUCCUACCUACUCCAACCAAACACUAUUUUUCACUAUUCUAGACUAACUCCAAUCCCCAACCAAACAUAAAAAAAUUUUAACCCUACCUUAACCCUGAACUUAACCCUAUUCCUGAAAUAGCUAUUUUUUUCUUAACCCCGAACCAAACGGUAGCUAAAAGUUUAAGCUGCUAGAGAACGGUAUUCACAUAUUUUUAUAUUUAACGGUGGCC